rnacentral:rRNA from 1 species
UGGCGGGUGAGACUAAACUGCAGUCGAGCGAAUGGAUUAAAAGCUUGCUCUUAUGAGGUGGCGGGGGAUGGUGAGUAACAAGUGGGUGACCCGCCCCUAUACUGGGAUAACUCCAGGAAACCUGGGCUAAAACCGGAAAACAUUUUGCACCGCAGGCGCGAAAUUGAAAGGCGGCGUCCGCUGUCACUUAUGGAUGGACCCGCGUCGCAUUAGCUAGUUGGUGAGGUAACGGCUCACCAAGGCGACGAUACGUAGCCAACCUGAGAGGGUGAUCGGCCACACUGGGACUGAGACACGGCCCACACUCCGACGGGAGGCGGCAUUUUGGAAUCUUCCCCAAUGGACGAAAGUCUGACAGAGCAACGCCGCGCGAGUGAUGAAGGCUUUCGGGUCGUAUAACUCUGUUGUUAGGGAAGAACAAGUGCUAGUUGAAUAAGCUGGCACCUUGACAGUACCUAACCAGAAAGCCACGGCGAACUACGUGCCAGCAACCCCGGUGAUACAUAGGUGGCAAGCGUUUUCCGGAAUUAUAGGGCGUAAAGCGCGCGCAGGUGGUUUCUUAAGUCUGAUGUGAAAGCCCACGGGCUCACCGUGGAGGGUCAUUGGGAAACUGGGAGACUUGAGUGCAGAAAGAAGAAAGUGGAAUUCCAUGUAAGCGAAAAAAAAAUGGAAAAAAAACA